rnacentral:rRNA from 1 species
AUGGCCCUGAACCGCGUCACCAUGGCCGCCCGUUCUGCCGUACCGGUCAUCAUUCGCAGCUCCGCCGGAGAAGAUCACCCCGCUGACCUGACCUCCGCCUCCUCCGAGCCCCCUCCCCUCUUUGACGGCACUAGCGGGAGUAUUGGCUUGCAGGACACGAUCAAAAUAGUCGCCCUAGAUCUCGCAGACAGGCCAGCCUGGUAUAAGGACAAAGUCUACACAGAGAACAAGGUGCCUGCCCUGGAGCACAACAAGCAGGUGAUAGGGGAGAGCUUGGAUCUGCUCAAAUACAUCGACAACAAUUUCGAUGGCCCAGCAUUGCUCCCUCAUGAUUCUGCGAAGAAACAAUUUGCCGAGGAACUGCUUGCGUACAGCGACAGUUUCAACGCCAGCGCCUUCUUCUCAUGCCUACGCUCCAAGGGAGAUGUGACAGACGAAGCUGAGGCUGCCCUGGGAAAGUUCAGCGAUGGCCCUUUCUUCCUUGGCCAGUUCAGCUUGGUCGACAUUGCAUAUGUGCCAUUCAUCGAAAGGCUUCAGAUAUCCUAUUCUGGCAUCAAGAACUACGAUAUCGUUGGGGGCAGACCCAACCUUGGCAGUUUCAUCGAGGAGGCCCCUCAACGCCUCCAACGAAGGCUACGACGCCCACGGGUGCCGCCGUUAGUGGUAGCCUCCUCUAGAUCUGAGGUUUCCCCCAGAAACAAUGGAGCGAGGGAUGCCCCCACCAUCGCCUCCAACAAGGAAAACGACACCCAUGGGCGCCACCGACGAUGCUGGCAUCGUCACCCUCUUCAGCAGCUAGUCCACCCUCUUCUCCUCCACUUGAUCCAUCAUUGGGAAGCCACCGCGAGGCAACACCCACCGACCAGAUCCCUUUGGACCGACGAUGAAGACAACCAAAUGUAG